rnacentral:rRNA from 1 species
GUGAGGAAUAUUGGUCAAUGGGCGGGAGCCUGAACCAGCCAAGUCGCGUGAAGGAAGAAGGAUCUAUGGUUCGUAAACUUCUUUUGCAGGGGAAUAAAGUGCAGGACGUGUCCUGUUUUGUAUGUACCCUGAGAAUAAGGAUCGGCUAACUCCGUGCCAGCAGCCGCGGUAAUACGGAGGAUCCGAGCGUUAUCCGGAUUUAUUGGGUUUAAAGGGUGCGUAGGUGGUUUGAUAAGUCAGCGGUGAAAGUUUGCAGCUUAACUGUAAAAAUGCCGUUGAAACUGUCGGACUUGAGUGUAAAUGAGGUAGGCGGAAUGCGUGGUGUAGCGGUGAAAUGCAUAGAUAUCAUGCAGAACUCCGAUUGCGAAGGCAGCUUACUAAGCUACAACUGACACUGAAGCACGAAAGCGUGGGGAUCAAACAGGAUUAGAAACCCCUGUAGUCC